rnacentral:rRNA from 1 species
AGCAGCCGCGGUAAUUCCAGCUCCAAUAGCGUAUAUUAAAGUUGUUGCAGUUAAAAAGCUCGUAGUUGAAUUUCGGGAUCAAGGAAUCGGUCAUGCCUUGGUAUGUACUGGUUUUAUUGGUUCUCACCUUCUAAAGAACCAUAAUGUCAUUUAUUUGAUGUUAUGGGGAAUUAGGACUGUUACCUUGAAAAAAUUAGAGUGUUUAAAGCAAGCUUACGCUUGAAUACAUUAGCAUGGAAUAAUGAAAUAGGACAUCAGAUUCUAUUUUGUUGGUUUCUAGGAUCGAUGUAAUGAUUAAUAGGGAUAGUUGGGGGCAUUAGUAUUCAAUUGUCAGAGGUGAAAUUCUUGGAUUUAUUGAAGACUAACUACUGCGAAAGCAUUUGCCAAGGAUGUUUUCAUUAAUCAAGAACGAAAGUUAGGGGAUCGAAGACGAUCAGAUACCGUCGUAGUCUUAACCAUAAACUAUGCCGA